CAUGAAGCUGGAAUCGCUAGUAAUCGCGGAUCAGAAUGCCGCGGUGAAUACGUUCCCGGGUCUUGUACGCACCGCCCGUCACACCAUGGGAGUCGGAAAUGCCCGAAGUCUGUGACCCAACCUACGGGAGGGAGCAGCCGAAGGCAGGUCGGAUGACUGGGGUGAAGUCGUAACAAGGUAGC
rnacentral:rRNA from 1 species